rnacentral:rRNA from 1 species
GCUGGCUGACGAGUGGCGGACGGGUGAGUAAUGUCUGGGAAACUGCCUGAUGGAGGGGGAUAACUACUGGAAACGGUGGCUAAUACCGCAUAACGUCGCAAGACCAAAGAGGGGGACCUUCGGGCCUCUUGCCAUCAGAUGUGCCCAGAUGGGAUUAGCUKGUUGGUGAGGUAACGGCUCACCAAGGCGACGAUCCCUAGCUGGUCUGAGAGGAUGACCAGCCACACUGGAACUGAGACACGGUCCAGACUCCUACGGGAGGCAGCAGUGGGGAAUAUUGCACAAUGGGCGCAAGCCUGAUGCAGCCAUGCCGCGUGUAUGAAGAAGGCCUUCGGGUUGUAAAGUACUUUCAGCGGGGAGGAAGGGAGUAAGGUUAAUAACCUUAUUCAUUGACGUUACCCGCAGAAGAAGCACCGGCUAACUCCGUGCCAGCAGCCGCGGUAAUACGGAGGGUGCAAGCGUUAAUCGGAAUUACUGGGCGUAAAGCGCACGCAGGCGGUCUGUCAAGUCGGAUGUGAAAUCCCCGGGCUCAACCUGGGAACUGCAUUCGAAACUGGCAGGCUGGAGUCUUGUAGAGGGGGGUAGAAUUCCAGGUGUAGCGGUGAAAUGCGUAGAGAUCUGGAGGAAUACCGG